AUCAUUACAGAGUUGAAAAACUCCAACCCCUGUGAACAUACCUUUACUGUUGCUUCGGCGGACGAUGGCCCCCCCCGGGGGCCGGACGCCGCCGGAGGUUACAAACCCUGAAUUUUAGUGUAUCUCUGAGUAUAAAACCAAAUAAUUAAAACUUUCAACAACGGAUCUCUUGGUUCUGGCAUCGAUGAAGAACGCAGCGAAAUGCGAUAAGUAAUGUGAAUUGCAGAAUUCAGUGAAUCAUCGAAUCUUUGAACGCACAUUGCGCCCGCCGGUAUUCCGGCGGGCAUGCCUGUCCGAGCGUCAUUUCACCACUCAAGCCCAGCUUGGUGUUGGGGCACCCGGCCGCCCGGCGGUCGGGGCCCCCAAGAACAUCGGCGGUCUCGCCAGGACCCUGAACGCAGUAACUCGCGGUAAAACGCGCUUCGUUCGGAGGCUUCCCGGCGGGCUCCAGCCGCUAAACCCCCUAAACUUCUUAGGUUGACCUCGGAUCAGGUAGGAAUACC
rnacentral:rRNA from 1 species